UACGAACUGUGCAAACGUUAUUCGGAAUCACUGGGCUUAAAGGGUGCGUAGGCGGUCGCACAAGUCAGGUGUGAAAUCCCCCGGCUCAACCGGGGAACAGCGCUUGAAACUAGGUGACUUGAGUGAGGUAAGGGUACGCGGAACUUCUGGUGGAGCGGUGAAAUGUGUAGAUAUCAGAAGGAACGCCGGUGGCGAAAGCGGCGUACUGGGCCUUGUCUGACGCUGAGGCACGAAAGCUAGGGAAGUGAACGGG
rnacentral:rRNA from 1 species